GAUGAACGCUGGCGGCGUGCCUAAUACAUGCAAGUCGAGCGAACAGAUGAGAAGCUUGCUUCUCUGAUGUUAGCGGCGGACGGGUGAGUAACACGUGGGUAACCUACCUAUAAGACUGGGAUAACUCCGGGAAACCGGGGCUAAUACCGGAUAAUAUCUUGAACCGCAUGGUUCGAUAGUGAAAGACGGUUUCGGCUGUCACUUAUAGAUGGACCCGCGCCGUAUUAGCUAGUUGGUAAGGUAACGGCUUACCAAGGCGACGAUACGUAGCCGACCUGAGAGGGGGAUCGGCCACACUGGAACUGAGACACGGUCCAGACUCCUACGGGAGGCAUCAGUAGGGAAUCUUCCGCACUGGGCGAAAGCCUGACGGAGCAACGCCGCGUGAGUGAUGAAGUUCUUCGGAUCGUAAAACUCUGUUGUUAGGGAAGAACAAAUUUGUUAGUAACUGAACAAGUCUUGACGGUACCUAACCAGAAAGCCACGGCUAACUACGUGCCAGCCGCCGCCGUAA
rnacentral:rRNA from 1 species